rnacentral:ncRNA from 1 species
UUUGCAUAGUGCUCUGAAAGUCACAGUGAAGAAAUUCAGUGAAGUGCAGGUAAACAGCAGAGUAACUGUGACUCUUUUAAGGUAAUCAAAUGCCUAUGAUCUAAUUAGUGGUGUAUAUGAAUGG